rnacentral:rRNA from 1 species
UACGUAGGGGGCAAGCGUUGUCCGGAAUUAUUGGGCGUAAAGCGCGCGCAGGCGGUCAUUUAAGUUUGGUGUUUAAGCCCGGGGCUCAACCCCGGAUCGCACUGAAAACUGGGUGACUUGAGUGCGGGAGAGGAAAGUGGAAUUCCACGUGUAGCGGUGAAAUGCGUAGAGAUGUGGAGGAACACCAGUGGCGAAGGCGGCGCCCUGGUCCGUUACUGACGCUGAGACGCGAAAGCGCGGGGAGCGAACGGG